GGCAGACACACAUGGCGCACAUACUGAGAGCAAACGCACACGUGUGUCGUUCCGGCAGCUUCAUCCAUCACACACACCGACAGAGCGACUUUCAGACACAAACAUAAACACACCGUGGAUAUUAGCAGGUAAUUGGACAGUGAGCCGGCGGGGGGUGAGGUGUUCUGAAUGAUUGUCAGGUUUGUCACGGAGCCCAGAGAUUCGUCUUCAGGCAGAAUCUGCUCAUCAGCCGCCGAGAAGAACUUCAGCAUGAUCAACCGGCUGGAAUAACGGGACGGUAAAACUUUAGAAACAAGAUUCUUGUUACUUCAUUUGGAAGCACCGAGGCAUUGAGGAGGAGAAUGUGCCGGCGAGCAGACAGACGGAGGAAGUCUCACGGCCCGGUGCUUCCUGGAGGCUUGAUUCUCCACACCUCCUCUGCUCCCCUUUGUGCAGGGAAUGGAGAGCCAUGAGGGGGCGUGGGUGAAAACUGUGCACACAUUCUGCAGACUCUGUCACUUGGGGCCCAGGCUCGUCUCAUCACAGCUGUUCCACGCCCACAUACAGAUAACAGAGCAAGGAAUAUAAAGUAUUCAAGCCAGCUACAGCAAACUUUGGCAAACUUCGCAGCCAUGUGUUGCAGAAAGCAGGGAGGAGCAUCUGCGUCUGCAAGCAUUUCUUAAUUUCCCGCUUCUACACUUGGAUUACUAGAAGUACUGAAUGAUUGAUGGAAAGAAUCUAAAGAUUUUAGAUAGCGUUGCAUUAUGAACAUGAAAUGAAAUUCCAAAAUUAAUGCCCAGAUGAAACCAACAAAAUUAAAACACUGCAAAA